CAAGGCUUGACAUGCACUGGACGGCUGCAGAGAUGUGGCUUUCUUUGGACUGGUGCACAGGUGGUGCAUGGUUGUCGUCAGCUCGUGUCGUGAGAUGUUGGGUUAAGUCCCGCAACGAGCGCAACCCUCGUUCUAUGUUGCCAGCACGUGAUGGUGGGGACUCAUAGGAGACUGCCGGGGUCAACUCGGAGGAAGGUGGGGACGACGUCAAAUCAUCAUGCCCCUUAUGUCUUGGGCUUCAAGCAUGCUACAAUGGUCGGUACAAUGGGUUGCGAAACUGUGAGGUGGAGCGAAUCCCAAAAAGCCGGCCUCAGUUCGGAUUGGGGUCUGCAACUCGACCCCAUGAAGUCGGAGUCGCUAGUAAUCGCAGAUCAGCAACGCUGCGGUGAAUACGUUCCCGGGCCUUGUACA
rnacentral:rRNA from 1 species